rnacentral:rRNA from 1 species
CAGUAGCCGCGGUAAUACGAACCGUGCGAACGUUAUUCGGAAUCACUGGGCUUAAAGCGCGUGUAGGCGGAUGGGAGCGUCGGCCUCUGAAAUCCCCCGGCUCAACCGGGGAAGUGGAGCCGAAACGACCCGUCUGGAGGGACGUAGGGGGACCUGGAACUUCCGGUGGAGCGGUGAAAUGCGUUGAGAUCGGAAGGAACGCCCGUGGCGAAAGCGAGGUCCUGGACGUCUGCUGACGCUGAGACGCGAAAGCCAGGGGAGCGAACGGGAUUAGAUACCCGCGUAGUCCCUGUCUCUUAUA